rnacentral:rRNA from 1 species
GAUGAACGCUGGCGGCGUGCCUAAUACAUGCAAGUCGAGCGAACGGACGAGAAGCUUGCUUUUCUGAUGUUAGCGGCGGACGGGUGAGUAACACGUGGAUAACCUACCUAUAAGACUGGGAUAACUUCGGGAAACCUGAGCUAAUACCGGAUAAUAUUUUGAACCGCAUGGUUCAAAAGUGAAAGGCGGCCAUGCUGUUACUUAUAGAUUGAUCCGCGCUGCAUUAGCUAGUUGGUAAGGUAACGGCUUACCAAGGCAACGAUGCAUAGCCGACCUGAGAGGGUGAUCGGCCACACUGGAACUGAGACACGGUCCAGACUCCUACGGGAGGCAGCAGUAGGGAAUCUUCCGCAAUGGGCGAAAGCCUGACGGAGCAACGCCGCGUGAGUGCUGAAGGUCUUCGGAUCGUAAAACUCUGUUAUUAGGGAAGAACAUAUGUGUAAGUAACUGUGCACAUCUUGACGGUACCUAAUCAGAAAGCCACGGCUAACUACGUG